CUAAUACAUGCAAGUCGAGCGGACAGAAGGGAGCUUGCUCCCGGAUGUUAGCGGCGGACGGGUGAGUAACACGUGGGUAACCUGCCUGUAAGACUGGGAUAACUCCGGGAAACCGGAGCUAAUACCGGAUAGUUCCUUGAACCGCAUGGUUCAAGGAUGAAAGACGGUUUCGGCUGUCACUUACAGAUGGACCCGCGGCGCAUUAGCUAGUUGGUGAGGUAACGGCUCACCAAGGCGACGAUGCGUAGCCGACCUGAGAGGGUGAUCGGCCACACUGGGACUGAGACACGGCCCAGACUCCUACGGGAGGCAGCAGUAGGGAAUCUUCCGCAAUGGACGAAAGUCUGACGGAGCAACGCCGCGUGAGUGAUGAAGGUUUUCGGAUCGUAAAGCUCUGUUGUUAGGGAAGAACAAGUGCAAGAGUAACUGCUUGCACCUUGACGGUACCUAACCAGAAAGCCACGGCUAACUACGUGCCAGCAGCCGCGGUAAUACGUAGGUGGCAAGCGUUGUCCGGAAUUAUUGGGCGUAAAGGGCUCGCAGGCGGUUUCUUAAGUCUGAUGUGAAAGCCCCCGGCUCAACCGGGGAGGGUCAUUGGAAACUGGGAAACUUGAGUGCAGAAGAGGAGAGUGGAAUUCCACGUGUAGCGGUGAAAUGCGUAGAGAUGUGGAGGAACACCAGUGGCGAAGGCGACUCUCUGGUCUGUAACUGACGCUGAGGAGCGAAAGCGUGGGGAGCGAACAGGAUUAGAUACCCUGGUAGUCCACGCCGUA
rnacentral:rRNA from 2 species